UAUUGGAAGCCAUAAUCACACUAGAUAUUCACAGGUAAAAUCAAAUAUCCACACACAGAACCAGAUAUUCACACAGAAAAUCAGAUACUCACCUACUGAGCCAGAUAAUCACACAGAACACAUACAAUAGUCAAGAUAAGGAAAGAGUUACCCUCCUUCUUCGCGACCGGAGAAGAUCGGCCUUCAAGUAAACAGAGAAAACCCUAGGUACAACCGUCAGAAAAUCUUACUGUAAGUAUGAUCAGGAAUGUCGGAAUAUCACCCAAAACAUCGUCUGAGUGAGGAUCGAGCCACCGGAUGGUAGUAAUACUUUAGGUCAAACCACCAGAAACCCUAGAAGCCGAUAGGUCACCCAAAAAUCAACCAAGAAUCAUCAUAAAUUCUUCGAGAAC
rnacentral:lncRNA from 1 species